AAUCCAACCCGACGAAGGACGAGGACUGAUGGCGUCUCCUCCGACUUGUCUACGUCGUCAGAAGAAGGAUCGAAAUCCACCACCAAUCGACGAAUCUCUCGGAAAUGAUGGUGUCUCCUCCGACUUGUCUCGUCUUCCACCUCAAAAGAAUGAUCAAAACCCAUCACAAUCGACGACUCUCUCGGUCAUCACGGCGUCUUGUCCGUUGGUUCUCGUCUUCUCCGACGUACGACGACUCUAUCAGUCCUCACGGCGUCUCCUCCUCCGGCGGGCGAUGUCUUCAGUUUGGAGAUCAGCUUCUGGUAAGACCUAUCAAAGCAUAUGCUUCACCGACAGCUGAAACAGCUCGACUCCAAUGGUGCAUGAUUCCACCGCUAUUGUGAAUAGUAAUAAUGGUUGAGAAGAGAGCUCUCUUUCUUCAAGCGCUGACAUGGAGAAAAACAUAAAUGAUCUGAAAGGGAAAGAUCUGCUUAAACGGCUUCACGAAGUUGGCACACUUGCUCAGAUUUCAAGUAUCCAAGGAGAUCAAGUUAUCCUCGUUGGUCAUAGACGGCUUCGCAUAACGGAGAAGGUGAGUGAAGAGCCACUUACAGUCAAAGUCGAUCAUCUUAAGGAUAAGCCGUUUGACAUGGACGAUGAUGUCAUCAAGGCAACAUCCUUUGAAGUUAUUUCAACGCUUAGGGAUGUACUGAAGACAAGCUCACUGUGGAGAGACCACGUCCAAACAUAUACCUAGCAUAUAGGUGAAUUCACUUGUCCAUGAUUAGCGGAUUUUGGAGCGGCUAUAUGUGGUGCAAAUAGGCAUCAAGCUCAAGAAGUUCUUGAAGAAAUUGAUGUUCAUAAACGUCUGCGGUUGACGCUGGAAUUGAUGAAAAAAGAAAGAGAAAUUAGCAAGAUUCAGGAAACUAUAGCAAAAGCAAUUGAAGAAAAAAUUAGCGGUGAGCAACGCCGUUACUUGCUAAAUGAGCAGCUCAAGGCUAUUAAGAAGGAGCUUGGUGUGGAGACAGAUGACAAAUCUGCACUGUCUGGUGAGUACUAACUUAAAGUAUCUUCAUCUUCAAGUAGUCAUUGUAUAUCCACAUAAGAGAUUCACCAUGCAUUCAUAAGACGUCAGUGUUUUUAGUAACUGCAACUUAUGGUAAU